rnacentral:lncRNA from 1 species
GAACAUUUUCAGAAAGUAAAGGAGCAUUCAUAGAAGUAGAUUGACAUGUUGUUGCAUGGGAUUGAAAAGAAGGAGAAGACUGCAUAAGCCUGUAAAGUCCAUCAUCCAAUUUACCAAUUUCCAAUGGCCUCUUCAGUGAAGGGGUCUAUAUCAAACAGGAAAACUUAGUAAAUAGGACAAUAGAAUCCAACUGGCAAAUAAGUUUGGAUAUAGAGAUAAGGUUGUAAUGAAAGCUAGGAAUGUAGAAGACAUGAUGCAAUGUGAAAGAGAGAAAUUGAAUGGAACCAGUACAAGUUACCUUGACCUUAUAACCAUUUGGCAAGGUGACUAAGUAUGGUAUGAUUAAGGGUUUAAUGUCAAAGAUAAGGUCUUAUUGGAUGUCAUAUGGUCAGUGGACCUAGAGUCUAUAAUCCAAAUGCAUUCAUUCAUUUAGUUAACAUGCAAGUAUCAUAAGAUACAUUUUUCACACAACUGGGUGAAGAGAGAAUACCAGCAAAGUUAGCAGAUGCCAUGAGGCUGGACUGGGGUUGUGAUUCUGAAAUUUGUGUAUGCUGAAGUAACAUCAUAAGUUGUGAAUAUUGAUCCUUGGUUAACCCAAGGAUCAAAGACUCUGAAUCAGAAGACCAUUCAGCUGGAGAGUGAGAAACCUCAACAGAAUUCUGAAGACCAGCAGAAUUUUGAUGACCAUGCACCUCAACAUUUGCAGCAGUCCUUUUACCCUUGGUAAACUUGAAGCCUAGUGGGAACCCAUGGAGCUUAUAACAUUUGUCAACUAAAUGUCCAGGAUUCUUACAAUACCUACACAUUAUAUUUGACUUGUUGUAUUCAAAGUUGACUCUUUGAGUGAACUGUUUGGGAGGGGCAGGAGUCCCUGAGAACUUGUUAGUGAGAUAUGCAUUGAAAGAAGUAGAAUCAGUACGGAAAUGGGAUAGUGAGGACACUUGUCUUUGUCUCUCAUCCUGAAGUAAGAUGUUGUUGUCACACCACUUUUUUCCGAGGGGAUAGGAGAGUUUUUUCAAUUAAAGUGACAUUAUUCGAAAUGAGAUUAUUUUAUCAAUCAGAGUCGCCACUUGGAAUAAUUUAUGGUAUCCCAAGUCACCGGUUUAUUUUAAAUCCCAAAUCGAGGAAAUGUUUACUCUGUUUUAAAGUCUACGAAACCAAAAGACCGGUUAAGGAAUUCUGUUAACCUGGGAAAAUGUGUGAGGCACUCCCGAGUUCCGUGGUUUUAGCACGGUCGCUCAACUAUUAAUAAUUGGCCUGAUUAUCUGAUUUAUUAUAUGUUUAAAACCUAUUAUGUAUUUUUAACCUUUUAAACCGCUUUUAAUUAUUUAUGGAAUCUGUUUGAACAAGUUGCGAUGUCGCACACUUGUUGUUUUUUAACACAUUGCGAAUCGCGUCACAUGAAAUGCACCCGCUGUUUACAACAUGUUUAUUUUUAUUACUAUUUAAAGUUAUGGUCGGGUCACAUGAAAUGCACACCCGAAUUGGAAUUUACGUAUCGUGACUAUGCCACGAGAACCGUACCCAUAGUCACGAUAAUUUAUUAUUAAUCGCGCCUAAAGCAACUAGCGAUGGUUUAUAAGUUGUUUAAUUACCUAAGCUUGAGAUUAUUGUGAGGUCAUGAAUUAUGGAUAUGACAUUGUUGGAAAAGUAUAAUUUUAAGUAAAACAUACAUUCUAACAACACAAUUAGACAAAAAAACAUAAGUAAAAUAAUAGGAAAUGCUCUCAAGCCCAAUUUCUUUUCUAACGUCAAAUAAACUUCCUCGACCAAACCCUUUUCCAAUUUUAUCAACCUGAGCCUAACUCACUGUGUGCUUCUAAUUUCAGGCAAGAUUUCCACAACAAACCAUUUAUAAUUAAAACCAACUUAAACCCAAAUUCUUUCCCUAAUUAACCAACACAGUAGCUCAAGUUAAACAAUAAAAAAAUUAUCAAGCAAGUUCAAGAUAAUAGUGACUUAAGUACCAACUAGACGUGAAGGCUAAACUAAAAACAACAGCAUACUAUAUCCCUGUGGCGCACCAAAUGCCUAAAUCAAUUUCAACUCAAGUCUUUUCCUUCGCCAUUUUAUUUACCGGAUAAGUCACGAAGCUUUCAGUGAUAUAAGUCAAAGUUGCAUUGAAAUAUCAAUUCAUCCUAUUCACUGUCACGAAUUAAGACAUUUAACCAAAUAAUAAAACUAAGACAGCAAAUGCAAACAAACCAACAUAACAAAAUACCAAAAUCAUUCAAAAUCCUUCAGCAAACCAGAAUAAUGAGAUGAAAUAAGAUGAAGGUUUGAAAGGUGCACCUUUACUGUUGCACACUCUUUGAAAGAUUGUAUUAAUGAAAAAAUACUGAACAAAUCCUUAAACGAGCAGAUGAACCUGUGACCGGAGACCUCGAUCGGCGACCUCGAAGAUCGCAAUCCUUCGAAAAUCAGACCACAGAAAUAGAACCUCUGUUUCGUAUGGAAAAGAAAAGAGAGGUGAUUUAUUUCUUUUUGAACUAGAGCCUCAUGGAGAAAUUGGAUUGAGAAGGGGGAAACAUGGUUAAUGAUUGGUGAGGAUGAAAGGUUGCGGUUUGGAUAUGAAUUUAGUUGCAAAAUCGUAGAAGGGGAUGGAAAGCUUGCUUCUGUUGCGCCGCUAUCGAUUUUCUCACGUCCCCUACAUUUUUCUAUCUGAUCUCCUCCCAUGCUUCUUUCGUUCCCUUUCUUUUGAUUUUUGCCUCUCCC